CAUGGAACAAUGUAGGUUCA
rnacentral:sRNA from 1 species